rnacentral:lncRNA from 1 species
UAAGCAAAAUACUUGGUUUACAUAUUAUAUAAUUCAAAGCUAAUAGUAAAAUAUUAACUUACUAGUCGAAUGUCUCGAGAAUUUUUCAUCAUGCUAUCUAUGUCAAUUCGAUCCUAAAAAUAUAUGAAAAAACUAUUAUUAGUCAAGCAUUGCAUCUAAAUAUAUUGAACAUAAAUUUUCUUUAUCAUAUUUAUUACCGCUUGUUUGCUAGUGUUCUUAAUGAAUGCAGCCUUGAGUUCCUCGAAUAGUUUUUUGAGAUCUUUUAGUUCCAUUUUAAUUUGUGUAGUAUGAGACUUGCUAAGUG